AACGAACGCUGGCGGCAGGCCUAACACAUGCAAGUCGAGCGCGCCCUUCGGGGUGAGCGGCGGACGGGCGAGUAACGCGUGGGAACGUGCCCUUUUCUACGGAAUAGCCUCGGGAAACUGAGAGUAAUACCGUAUACGCCCUUUGGGGGAAAGAUUUAUCGGAAAAGGAUCGGCCCGCGUUGGAUUAGGUAGUUGGUGGGGUAAUGGCCUACCAAGCCGACGAUCCAUAGCUGGUUUGAGAGGAUGAUCAGCCACACUGGGACUGAGACACGGCCCAGACUCCUACGGGAGGCAGCAGUGGGGAAUCUUAGACAAUGGGGGCAACCCUGAUCUAGCCAUGCCGCGUGAGUGAUGAAGGCCUUAGGGUUGUAAAGCUCUUUCAGCUGGGAAGAUAAUGACGGUACCAGCAGAAGAAGCCCCGGCUAACUCCGUG
rnacentral:rRNA from 1 species